GAUGAACGCUGGCGGCGUGCCUAAUACAUGUAAGUCGAGCGAACGGACGAGAAGCUUGCUUCUCUGAUGUUAGCGGCGGACGGGUGAGUAACACGUGGAUAACCUACCUAUAAGACUGGGAUAACUUCGGGAAACCGGAGCUAAUACCGGAUGAUAUUUUGAACCGCAUGGUUCAAAAGUGAAAGACGGUCUUGCUGUCACUUAUAGAUGGAUCCGCGCUGCAUUAGCUAGUUGGUAAGGUAACGGCUUACCAAGGCAACGAUGCAUAGCCGACCUGAGAGGGUGAUCGGCCACACUGGAACUGAGACACGGUCCAGACUCCUUCGGGAGGCAGCAGUAGGGAAUCUUCCGCAAUGGGCGAAAGCCUGACGGAGCAACGCCGCGUGAGUGAUGAAGGUCUUCGGAUCGUAAAACUCUGUUAUUAGGGAAGAACAUAUGUGUAAGUAACUGUGCACAUCUUGACGGUACCUAAUCAGAAAGCCACGGCUAACUACGUG
rnacentral:rRNA from 1 species